rnacentral:tRNA from 1 species
GAUGGUCCAGUGGUUAGGACUUGGCAUUUUCAUUGCUAUGGGCACAGGUUUGAUCCCUGGUC